AAUUGCCCUUGACCGCAUGGUUUCUGCUGGUCCAAGCAACCUUCUCCUGCCACGCCUAACCUUGGAGAAGCAGGUACCCAAGCAAGCCACUCCUCAGGCAUUUUCCCCACAACUAGAAAUCCAGAGGCUUUGGAUCUUGAGAAGAACAUGAAGGAAAGAUGCCAGGAAGUACAGUCUGGUCUGCUGAUGAUGAUCAAUGGAGGAAGUGUUUCACGGUGGACAUGGGAAACUGGCCAGAUCAACUGCUGUCACCUUCUAAAGACAGGGUUUUGCCAUGUUGCCAGGCUGGUCUCGAACUCCUGGACUCAAGUGAUCUGCCUGCCUCAGCCUCUCAAAGUGCUGGAAUUAUAGGACCCAGACGGGGAGGAGGAAUGCCAGAGAAGCUGCAGACUCCCCAGCCACAGAGCCUGAGUGGAGCAGAGGUGGCCCACUGUCAGCCACAGGUCAAGUGUCAGGGUGGGGACGGGGCAGGCUCCACCAGGAGGCGGGGCCAGACCACAGGGCAAGGUGGAGAUGAGUCUGUGGCACCCCCAGGAAGCUUACCAGAUUUGCCACAG
rnacentral:lncRNA from 1 species